UACGAAGGGGGCUAGCGUUGUUCGGAAUCACUGGGCGUAAAGGGCGCGUAGGCGGCUUUAUAAGUCGGGGGUGAAAGCCUGUGGCUCAACCACAGAAUUGCCUUCGAUACUGUAGAGCUUGAGACCGGAAGAGGUUAGUGGAACUGCGAGUGUAGAGGUGAAAUUCGUAGAUAUUCGCAAGAACACCAGUGGCGAAGGCGGCUCACUGGCCCGGUACUGACGCUGAGGUGCGAAAGCGUGGGGAGCAAACAGG
rnacentral:rRNA from 1 species